rnacentral:lncRNA from 1 species
UGCAAAUCAAAACAACUCUGAGGUAUCUCCUCACACCUAGCAGAUUGGCUAACAUGACAGCAAAGGAAAGUAAUGAAUGCUGCAAAGGAAAGUAAUGAAUGUUGGAGGGGAUGUGGCAAAGUAGGGACAUUAAUUCAUUGCUGGUGGAGUUGUGAAUUGAUCCAACCAUUCUGGAGGGAAAUUUGAAACUAUGCCCAAAGGGUGAUAAAAGAAUGUCUGCCCUAUGAUCCAUCCAUAGCACUGCUGGGUUUGUACCCCAAAGAGAUAAUAAGGAAAAAGACUUGUACAAGAAUAUUCAUAGCUGAGCUCUUUGUGGUGGCCAAAAAUUGAAAAAUGAGGGAAUGCCCUUCAAUUGGGGAAUGGCUGAACAAAUUGUGGUAUAUGUUGGUGAUGGAAUACUAUUUUGCUAAAAGGAAUAAUAAAGUGUAUCUAUUUAGUGCCAUACCCAUGGAACUCCCAAAAAAUUUCUUUACUGAUUUGGAAAAAACCAUAACAAAGUUCAUUUGGAAUAACAAAAGAUCAAGGAUAUCCAGGGAAAUAAUGAAAAAAAAAACACUAAUGAGGGGGGCCUAGCAGUCCCAGACCUCAAACUAUAUUACAAAGCAGCAGUCAUCAAAACAAUUUGGUACUGGCUAAGAGACAGAAAGGAGGAUCAGUGGAAUAGAUGAGGGCAAGUGACCUCAGCCAGAUAGUAUACGAUAAACCCAAAGAUCCCAGGUCUUGGGACAAAAAUCCACUAUUUGAUAAGAACUGCUGGGAAAAUUGGAAGACAGUGUGGGAGAGAUUAGGAAUUGAUCUACACCUGACACCCUACACCAAGAUAAAUUCAAAAUGGGUGAAAGACUUAAACAUAAAGAAGGAAACCAUAAGUAAAUUGGGUAAACACAGAAUAGUAUACAUGUCAGACCUUUGGGAAGGGAAAGAGAUCCCAGAGUCCAUAUAUUCAGCAAACCUAUUGUUAAAUCUAUCUAUCUUUCCAAAUCAAGAACACUCACUUGUCUAAAAAUUAAAUGUAAAAAUUCUAAAAAUUUACUUUUAUUUUUCCACAUAAAAGGUAAUUGUUUUCAUAUUUUUAGUUGAGAUCAUUUUUUAGAAAAUGUUCCUGUUCCCUUAUCUAGAUGCCUGCCCUAAUCAUUCCAAACUACCUAUUAUUAGAGAAUUUACCUUGGCAGCAAUUAAGCAUGCAAAUGAGCUGCCCAUUUAUUUUGGUUCUGGGAAUGGAAAAGAUCAUUAAUCAAAUUUAUAAGUGCUAUGAAACAAUUUCUUCCAUGUUCAUUAAAAGUCACUAUGAAAAUGUUAUCUCUGGGCUUAGUUGACAGUUUUAAACUUAAUGUGGCUUUUAUUCAAUGACAACAAAAUAGAAUAUUUCACUGGUGUGCGCCUAAAUCACCACCUACUAAAAUGAUCUCUUUUUUUCUUGGAUUUAACAAUUUCCCUCUCUGGACAGAAAGGGCAGUUCACUUCCUAGCUAUUAUCCUAUGAAUAAAAAAGGCUGUCCUGAAAAGUUUCA